rnacentral:rRNA from 1 species
AUUGAACGCUGGCGGCAGGCUUAACACAUGCAAGUCGAGCGGGGAAAGGUAGCUUGCUACCUGACCUAGCGGCGGACGGGUGAGUAAUGCUUAGGAAUCUGCCUAUUAGUGGGGGACAACAUCUCGAAAGGGAUGCUAAUACUGCAUACGUCCUACGGGAGAAAGCAGGGGACCUUCGGGCCUCGCGCUAAUAGAUGAGCCUAAGUCGGAGUAGCUAGUUGGUGGGGUAAAGGCCUACCAAGGCGACGAUCUGUAGCGGGUCUGAGAGGAUGAUCCGCCACACUGGGACUGAGACACGGCCCAGACUCCUACGGGAGGCAGCAGUGGGGAAUAUUGGACAAUGGGGGGAACCCUGAUCCAGCCAUGCCGCGUGUGUGAAGAAGGCCUUUUGGUUGUAAAGCACUCUAAGCGAGGAGGAGGCUACCGAGAUUAAUACUCUUGGAUAGUGGACGUUACUCGCAGAAUAAGCACCGGCUAACUCUGUGCCAGCAGCCGCCGUAAUAC